rnacentral:tRNA from 1 species
GAGGCUUUAUUUUAAUAAAAAUAUCUAGGUUGCAUAUAGAUGAUGUAGAAUAAAGAUCUACAGGUCUUU